UCCGCAGUCCGCCCUCCGGUUCCUCACCCGCGCCGUGCCGGGAGAGGCCACCCUUCCACCUGCGCUGCAGCUUCCGACCGGGAGGCGAUGGGCCAGGUCCUCCCACCCAGGCCCGACUUCCGGGCCCUCCUGGCAUGCCGGGAGCCGGUCCCUUCGCGAGGAGGGGCUUACCCAGGUAUUUUUGGCUUGGGGGUGUUAGUUUUUGUUAAAGGGGUAAAGUGAAAGUCCUCGGAAUUAGUUAAGUGCGACGGAUAUACUCGUCGGCCAGUCUGGACCCUGAGCGCAACUUGCAGCAGGUGUGGAGGAAACUAAGCCAUGGAGGUGGAAGGUGGCGGCAGGUGACAUUCACCCACUGAUGAGUGAGGGUUGCUCCUCCUGGGGCAAGGCGGAAACCAUUCCAGUUCACCCCAGAGGCUGGUGACUUCCAUCAUGGUGCCCUCUGGAGGGCUCCGGGAGAAUCUGAGCAGGAGGAGCUUUAGGUGUGAUGGAGCUGUUACUAGUUUUGCAUCUUCCAGGGAGGGGCUAACCCAAUCCCCAAACACCCGACUCCUGGAACAGCAGGGGUUCAUGAAAGACUGGCAUUGGAAACUCUCCGCAAAGCCAGGGCAGUCUCAGCAGAUGCAACCUUUGGAAACAACUUAGGUGAUUUAAAUUAAUUUCCAGGCAUUCCCAAGGAGAUCUAAAGAUAGCCACAGCUUUCCCAUUGCCAUGGUUGGCAAACAGCCUCUUGAAGUUCACCUGUGUCCAUAAGCCUUGUGUCCAUAAACCCCAUGAACUCCUUUUGCUUGGCCUCUUCCAGCCUUCUGUUGUGCCUCUUUCUUCUGUGAGCUGGCCAGUGCCUCCCUUCUCUGUGUCUGCUUUGGUUUUCUAUUUCCCUUACCUAAUCAAACCUACCUCUGCCCACUCUUCCAUUUCUCUAGAGCAGCAGGAGUUGGGAGAAAGCUGAAGCAAACCAAGGCAAAAUCAAGUAGCAAAGGAGGUUAAAACGUGAAUGCGUUUGAUUUAGAGCUCAACUUUGGCAUGCCCAGGCUGUCUCUAGUGGAUGAGCCAGGCUCCCAGUAGCCCAGGCCCUGAGCCUCACCAGGCCACCUAAAGUGGCUCCUCCCAAGUUCAGCCCUGCAGCCACACAGGCUGCACUCCAAUAGACUGGGACAGAGAAAACAAUGCCCACACCAUUCUCCCUCCAAAAAUCUCAAGUAUUUGACCCUGAUUUUGUAUGUUCCUAAAGUCAUUUUUCUCCUAUCAAAAACUGAGAAACGUGACAAAAGGUAAAUGUCUAGGUUGUGGCCUUGGAUAUUCUACCCAGUUUCUUCCCAUCCCUCCUAACCUUCAAACCUGUCAUAGUCACAUAAUCUAUGACUCAAACUAUUAUUUAACCAUGAAAAAAGACAAACCAGGAAAUUAGAGGCUGAAUGACCUAAACUUUAUUCCAUUCAACUGAGCUAAUCUCCUCAAAAGGGUGUGUAUACUAAAUCAUAUUAUAUCUGUUCUGGAAGACAUGAACAUUGCAGGGAAAAGCACAUGGUGACUACAGAUCCCAACUUGUUGAGAUUUGUCCUCAAAAGGGUAAGUGCCUGGUUGUAAGCCAAGUUGCCUAGCAGUUUGCUAAAUUAGCCUUAACAUUUGGGAACCAAUAUGUUGCAAUGGAGAGCACCCAAUGUUUAGGCUGACCACAUUCAUAUCCUGGCACUGUCACUGCUUAGGCAAGCAAGGGACUUACCUGCCCUCCCUAAGUCUCCUCCACUGUGAAAUGGCAGUGACAGCAAUACCCAUCUCCUGGGGCCACUGUGAGGACAGAUGAGUAAAGUGCUUGGCACAUGUGAGCAGCGCCCCCUCCCUAAAAGCACCCCCAGUCAACUGUUGCUGUAUGGUAAGCAGCAAAUUGGCAAGACCGAGAAGAAGGCUGGAGGCUCCACAAAGUGGGGUUCCACAGAGUCACUGGAACACAGUCAAGUAUCCUGAGCAAGAGAGAGAAGAGGAUCCCAGAGGAGGCAGCUGGCGGGUGGAGCACUGCAGGGAGAGCCAAGGACAGCCCCUCACAGCAGGGUUGGGAGGACGCAGGGGGCUCCACUCCAGUCCUCCCGCAUUAGCGCAACGCGGCUGCAUCCCCACCCUCACAUGUGUUCAUCCUUACGUGAAACUCAGCACAUACUGACCUCACACCCACGAUGUGCAUGGCUCUGGCGGGUGGAGUGCUGUAGCGGGAGUGAACGUAAGAAGUGAUCAGAUUGGCAUCAGAGACUUAACAAACCAGGUAUUUCUGCCCAGAUUCAGAAACCUAUCUUUUCAGGAGCUAGAUUGUAAGGAUAUGACCAAAUACUGAAAAAAUCUUAGUUCAGGAUCAGUUUUUUUCUUCUUUAAGUAGAAAGGCAAAGAGUUAAUAAAAUGUUCUGGAAAUGUCAACAUCAACUGAAUCUUGGUACUAUUUAGGGGGCAUUAUUCAUUUGUAGGUGAAAUAAGGACAAGGUGGUUAAGUUGAAUGAGUCCAUUUUUUUAAAGAUGCAUACUGAAAUACUGCCAGAUGAUAUGAGCUUAUGUAUAGGGUUUACCUCAGUAUUAUAUGGGAGAUGGGGAGGCAGAUGGUGGUAAAAAUAGACAAGUAUGGCCAGGUGGUGGUGAGGUUGGUGAUGGGGCACAUGGGGGUUCAUCAUACUCCUCUGUCUCCUUCUGUAUAUGUCUGAAAUUUUCCAUCAUAAAUGUUUUAAAUUCCUAAAAGCUGAAAAAAAAUUUUAACUCAGGAAUUUCUUGUCUUAUUGGUUCUUGCAACCUGUUGUUUACUUCCCAAGGACAUGUGCUCUUGGACAAGAGAUGAGGCUGUGGGAGACAUGCCAGAUGCCAGGGUAGGCUGGAGAACAGGCAGGGAGACCACCACCCCAGGUCAGGAAAGCACCUCAGACCCUCCUCCCUACACAAGGAUGAAGACCAAGGGGUGGUGUCCUGCCCCUCGGAGCCUCCCAGGCCAGAAUGCAGCUCAUGAAGGCCACCAGGCUGAGGAGGCUGCAUGGAGUGGAGGCCCUGAGGCUGGAGUAGGAGUGGAAAGAUGUGGUGCCUCCCAGAAGGUGUGCAAAGAGAGGGGGAUACUGUGUGCGGCUCUUCUGUGCCCACUUUGGCACAGUUUUGUGCAGGACAAAGAGAAGACUGCUCAGAUCAAAGCCGGGCUUAUUAAAUUUCUCAGCCACAGGCUGAAGACACAUGCUAUGGGAGACAGGCCCACAUGGGAAAGCCUGGGGAGAGCCAGCCUUGAAGAGGCCAGGCGUGCACCAGAGGCUGAGAGGAGCCCACCUUCCUCAGAGUAGGUUUGGGCCUCCUUAGGAUGGGGAAGAAAGAGUUAAGAGUCUGGCUGUGGAGGGCGGCUUUGCAGCUAUAAACAGAGAGCCCAGGGAGGGAGCAAGCUGACACAGGAUGUGGCCAGGGCUCAAGCUGUCUGAUUAUUAACUUCACUUUUAUUUGGAGGGGGAUUCGAUUCUGUUUUACUUCCCAUCAAGGAAGUGAAAGCCCAGAUCUCAGAGGGGCCCUGGUUUCAAAUUGUUUUGUCACAGCUCAUUCAUUUUUCCUCUUAAAUAAA